rnacentral:rRNA from 1 species
UACGUAGGGUGCAAGCGUUGUCCGGAAUUAUUGGGCGUAAAGAGCGUGUAGGCGGCCCGAUUAGUCCGCUGUGAAAGUCCAGGGCUCAACCCUGGAAUGCCGGUGGAUACUGUCGGGCUAGAGUCCGGAAGAGGCGAGUGGAAUUCCUGGUGUAGCGGUGGAAUGCGCAGAUAUCAGGAGGAACACCAAUAGCGAAGGCAGCUCGCUGGGACGGUACUGACGCUGAGGUGCGAAAGCGUGGGGAGCGAACAGG